rnacentral:tRNA from 2 species
GGAGGCUUGCCCGAGCGGCCUAAGGGAACAGUCUUGAAAACUGUCGUGAGGUGAUCCCUCACCGUGGGUUCAAAUCCCACAGCCUCCG